UACGGGGGGGCGAAGCGUUGUUCGGAAUUACUGGGCGUAAAGGGCGCGUAGGCGGCCUGCUUAAGUCGAACGUUGAAAUCCCCGGGCUCAACCCGGGAACUGCGUCCGAUACUGGAAGGCUUGAAUCCGGGAGAGGGAUGUGGAAUUCCAGGUGAUAGCGGUGAAAUGCGUAGAUAUCGAGAGGAAACACCUGCGGCGAAGGCGGGUAGCUGGGCCGACACUGACGCUGAUGCGGCGAAAAGCCAGGGGGAGCGAAACGGG
rnacentral:rRNA from 1 species